rnacentral:rRNA from 1 species
GAUGAACGCUAGCUACAGGCUUAACACAUGCAAGUCGAGGGGUAACAAGAGGAAAGCUUGCUUUCCUUGUCGACGACCGGCGCACGGGUGAGUAACGCGUAUCCAACCUGCCCCCAACUAGGGAAUAACCUUGCGAAAGUAAGACUAAUACCCUAUAUUUUCCUCAGAUGCCAUCUGACGAGGAAUAAAGAUUUAUCGGUUGUGGAUGGGGAUGCGUCUGAUUAGCUUGUUGGCGGGGUAACGGCCCACCAAGGCAACGAUCAGUAGGGGUUCUGAGAGGAAGGUCCCCCACAUUGGAACUGAGACACGGUCCAAACUCCUACGGGAGGCAGCAGUGAGGAAUAUUGGUCAAUGGGCGAAAGCCUGAACCAGCCAAGUAGCGUGCAGGAUGACGGCCCUAUGGGUUGUAAACUGCUUUUAUACAGGAAUAAAGUUAGCCACGUGUGGUUAUUUGUAGGUACUGUAUGAAUAAGGACCGGCUAAUUCCGUGCCAGCAGCCGCGGUAA